CAACUAUGGUCACAUUUACUUCUGGAAAGAUCCUUAAGGAUUGCAUAUAUAGUUUGACAAAGUUUCUUAUAUGCUAUCUUUUUGAGUUCACAAUGUGAUCCCCAUACAAUUCAUAGAUUUUGUUUCACCUUUUCUAUGUUCUUGUCGUGGCAUUUUGCAUGUCAUUUAGUUUUCCCACUUCCAGGAUUGUUAAUGUAUGUGACUAUCUCGAAGAAAUCUAUAGGUGAGUUGGGGUGGGGGCAUGUUACGCACUGCACAUGUUUUUGCUUGUGUGUGCAGAAUACGAUUUUACUGUAUUGAUGUCAACACUGUUCCACACAAGCUUGUUGUUCGUGCAGGAAUCACUGCAAGAACCACAUGUGCAUUAACCUUAUCUCCGGUGGCAAUGAGUAUGCAAUUAUCAUUAGAACAUCAUUGGUGAUUUCUACCUUGACUGUGGGUCUCACCAUCCCCUUCUUCGGUCUGGUUGGCACUGAUUGGAUCUUUACUCACAAUGCUAGUAGUGAGUUUUUUUUUUUUUGGUUAUCUCUGCCCGUUGGAUUCUCUUGCUUUUUUGGUGUUGGUGCUGGAGAGCAUUGUUGGGCAUGAUUUUCAACCCAGUGCUGUUGAUGGAACAGCUACGUGUUCCAUUUUAUUUUAUUACAAUUGUUAUAUUUUCAUGACUGCUACAUUUUUGUUGGAAUUCAUUAUUUAAUUGGGGUUUGAUGUUUAUUUUGUACGAAACCCUAACUUUCUAAGUAUUUGAAGUUUGUACGUGUAUGUAUAUAUAUAGUUGAAAUUAUAUAUAUAUAUAUAUAUAUAUAUAUAUAGUUGUUAAUGCAGAUUGUUUGUCCUUUUUCAUCUCAUUUCUGCUCAGAUCCCUUUCUCUCUCUUUAUGUGUGUGUAUGUGUGUGCUUUUAUUUUCUGGUGUUUCAAUUUGGGUAGUUCAGUUUUAUUUUUCUUGCAUUUCAAUUUGGCGUUUCAAUUUUAUUUUCCUUUGGUAUUUGUGAGUUGUGUGUAAUUAGGUUUAUGAAGGAGGUCACAAGUUUCAUCCUGGUAUGUCGACCUUGAUAUUGGUAUUUUUCUAGUUUUUGAUUGAUCUAACAAGAAACUUGUCAGAAAACAAUAAUAUUAGUAUGAAUUAAAAAGUUUUUUGGAGUUUGACUUGAUCACAUAUUGAUAUGGAGUAAAUUUGAAAAUGAGAGAAUGAAUAGGUGGUUCUAGUCACCAAAUUGGUACUUUUCUUGCUAAGAUAUUGCCUGAUUUUUCUUUUUCCUUAAUUGGGUAGCUCUUGUACCACUAUUUCAUAUGUUUGGAGGCUUUCAACCUUGUGUUGAGUCUGCAUCUCAUUUGUGAAUUGCUUCAUUCAAAAGGUUGUCUACAAAUUCGAGUAGAAGAUGGUUGUUAUGACAAUUCUUAUCAGAUUGUAGCAAACGCUUGAAUUAUUGAUCCCAACUUUGUCUUUGUGAUGUGUUUGCCAAACCUAGUUCAAUUGUCUAAUCUGAAAUGAUACUUCUAAUCACGCGCUCUUUUUUACUGAUUGUAGAUGGAGCAUUUUGAACUGGGCAUUAUCUUCAGUGGUCGGAAAAGUUGCAGAAGCUUUUGAAGUGGAAACUGCUAAGCUUGCAGAAACUAUGUCCGUUAAAGAAGUUCUGCAAUUUGGCAUCAAAUUGUGCUUGAAAUCUUUUCAACUGGAAAUUGACCAUGAGGAGGCUGUGCAGUAUCUAAAUAGUAAAUAGAAAGAUUUGCUCUUCAGUGGAUGUUGAGAUGGUGAGUUGUGGCUCUUCAGUUAGGUAGAGAUGCAUGGGUUGGACGCUUUGGAAAUCAGGAUGCCCUCCUAUGCCAUUUUUUUCAUUUGUGCGUCCCGUGUCUAAUGCAACAACUUUACAUCAUAAAUGCAAUCACUUUAAAUCGAUAAUGUAACAACUGAGUAAAUGUGCUAAAUUCUCGAUUUAAUGGUGUUAUAUCAUCGUAACAGGAUGUAUUAUGUUGCAUUAAGUGUUAUAUAUUCGAUAUAAAUUCUCGAUUUAAGUGUUAUAUAUUCGAUAUCGUCG